rnacentral:rRNA from 1 species
UCAAGCUACAAAGGGCGUACGGUGGAUGCCUUGGCGCGAGAGGCCGAUGAAGGACGCGGUUACCUGCGAAAAGCUCCGGGGAGUUGGUAGCAAACGGUGAUCCGGAGAUCUCCGAAUGGGGAAACCCGACCAGGUUGAUCCCUGGUCACCCGCACCUGAAUACAUAGGGUGCGUGGAGGGCACCGAGGGAACUGAAACAUCUCAGUACCUCGAGGAAAAGAAAGCAUUCCCUGAGUAGUGGCGAGCGAAACGGGAAGAGCCCAAACCAGUGCCGCGUGAUAGCCGGCAGGCGUUGCGGCACGGGGGUUGUGAGGCGCGGCGGUGGAUCUGCCGAUCCACGACGGAGUUACAAAAGCAUGCGUUAGCGGAAGGUGCCUGGAAAGGCCCACCAGAGACGGUGAUAGUCCGGUACGCGACGACGCAUGCCCUCCGGUCGCUGUCCUCGAGUACCACCCGGAAGGUCUCCAGGGUGGGAAACCGGGCAGACCAUUGUCCAAGGCUAAAUACCUCUCGCGACCGAUAGUGAACUAGUACCGUGAGGGAAAGGUGAAAAGCACCCCGGGAGGGGAGUGAAAUAGAAACUGAAACCGUACGCCUACAAGCAGUCGAAGCGUGUUGCCCCGCAAGGGGUAGCGUGACGGCGUGCCUAUUGAAGAAUGAUCCGGCGAGUUAGCUGUAUGCGGCGAGGUUAAGGACUGACGUCCGGAGCCGAAGCGAAAGCGAGUCUGAAUAGGGCGUGGAUCGCAAGAUCCGAAGUCGCAUGCACUAGACCCGAAACCAAGUGAGCUACCCAUGGCCAGGCUGAAGCGGCGGUAAAACGCCGUGGAGGGCCGAACUCACUAGCGUUGAAAAGCUAGGGGAUGAGCUGUGGGUAGAGGUGAAAUGCCAAACGAACUUGGAGAUAGCUGGUUCUCUCCGAAAUAGCUUUAGGGCUAGCGUCGCGCGUUCACUCAUAGAGGUAGAGCACUGAAUGGGCUAGGGGGCUUAUCGCUUACCAACCCCAAUCAAACUCCGAAUGCUAUGAGUUCAAGCGCGGCAGUCAGUCCCCGGGGGCUAAGCUCCAGGGACAAAAGGGAAACAGCCCAGACCAACAGCUAAGGUCCCUCAAUCCAGGCUAAGUGGCGAAGGAUGUCGAAUCGCUCAGACAACCAGGAUGUUGGCUUAGAAGCAGCCAUCAUUGAAAGAGUGCGUAACAGCUCACUGGUCGAGUGGUUCGGCGCCGAAAAUUCAACGGGGCUCAAGCCUGGUACCGAAGCUUUGGAUCCACGACCCUUCGGGGCACGUGGGUGGUAGGAGAGCGUUCCAAGCGCAGUGAAGGUAGAGCGUAAGCACUGCUGGAGCUCUUGGAAGUGAGAAUGCCGGAACGAGUAGCGAAACGUGCGUGAGAAACGUACGCGCCGUAUGCCCAAGGUUUCCUGAGGAAGGUUAAUCCGCUCAGGGUCAGUCGGGCCUAAGCCGAGGCCGAAAGGCGUAGGCGAUGGACAUCUGGUCUACAUUCCAGAACCGCUCAAGACCGUUACCAGCAAGGGGGUGACCCGAUCUGGUAGUCCCAGCGCACUUUGGCUAUGUGCGUCCAAGCUUCUAGCCGUCUCCCGAUAGGCAAAUCCGUCGGGAGGUCAAGGUGAAGAGCGAGCGCGAGCUGCAGCGAUGUGGCAAGUGGGGCGAGCCAAGUCGGCGAGAAAAGCCUCUAGCGAGGUCGCGAGCGUCCGUACCGCAAACCGACGCAGGUGGGCGGGUAGAGAAUACCAAGGCGAUCGGGAGAACCCUCGUUAAGGAACUCUGCAAAAUGACCCCGUAACUUCGGGAGAAGGGGUGCCUCGCACGCCUGGAUUUAUUCAGGCAAGUGAUCGAGGCCUCAGAUAAACGGCCCAAGCGACUGUUUAACAAAAACACAGGUCUCUGCGAAGGGGAAACCCUACGUAUAGGGGCUGACGCCUGCCCAGUGCCGGAAGGUUAAUGGGAGAGCUUUACGGCUUGAACUGAAGCCCCGGUGAACGGCGGCCGUAACUAUAACGGUCCUAAGGUAGCGAAAUUCCUUGUCGGGUAAGUUCCGACCCGCACGAAAGGAGUAACGAGUUGGGCGCUGUCUCAACGGGGGACCCGGCGAAAUUGAAAUA